AGAAAAAGUGCAAGUUAGCUCAAAAUGGAAACUUGAGCGUUUUUGGCCAAAAUUGCCAAAAUACAUUAUUGGAAAGUGAUAUUUUAAGGUAUGAGACUAAUGUUAUUUAUUUGGAAAAUAAAUAAUACGGAAUUUAUCGAGAAUCGAAUGAUUAAAGGAUUAGUGGACUAAAUUGGACGAAGGAAAAGUUAUGGAUUAAGAAAUGAGGAGGUGGCAACUUUAAGGGCUUAAGUAAACUUUAGCCAACAACUUAUAGGCUAAGUCAAGGAAUUAAUGUCCCAUGUUCAGCUCAUUCUCUCAAAAUUAAAAAGAAAUAGAAAGAAAGAAAGAAAAAGAUGGAGAAGAUGAGAGAAAGGGGAAAAUGGAGCAUUCAACUUCAAAUCGAGCUACGGAGCUCGUUUCUCGACCAAAUUUGAUGAUUUCGGUGGCUAUGGAUUCGGGAUUCAAGCCUUUACUCAAGGAGAUCAUGGUGUAUGAUGAUUAAGAGCUAUGAUUAUGGAAUUUUGAUGGUUGUUCAUGGAGGAAUUCAUUCAGCCAAAGGGUUAUACCAUCAAACAAAGAUUCGACGAGGCGACUAUCGACGGAGUUCAAAGUUCUUGAAUCGAGAUUAACGCUUUGCUUGAUUAGAGUAAAUGGAUAGCAAGUGGGAUAGCAUGAUAUGAUUUGAAAAGUCAAGCUUCCGAAGUUUUAAUUCUCGGAAGUCAUUUGCACAAGAAGUGAAAGAAGGUUUUCAUUCUAGCGGUCCGCAGUAGUCUAGAUGUUUUUGUCUAUGUAUUUGUACAAUGCGUUUUAACUCUGAUGUUUUUUGUAAAAUUGGGUCACAUGUAUUUUGAUAUAUAAAAUAUGAUAUGAUUUGCGAAAAAUUUAUACAGGUUUUUAGGCUUGCUACGGGUUUCGGAGCUACCACUCCCAUUCCCUAGCGCCGGUCGCGACUCAUAAA